UAAGAAUAGGGUACAAAGAUUAAAACCAGGGGUGUUGAAUAAAAUUGAAGCUCUUCUGGUUUUAGCCCAUGCCUUUCCUCUUCCAACUUUAUUAUUUGCCAGGGGUGCAAGAUAGGGUGCAGCACGAAAUUUCUUGGUCUAGGCCCAAAGGGUGCAUCAGCAAUGUUGGAGGUGGCAUAUGGUAGUUGUUGGUCAGGCCCAAGGUCUCCUUUUUUGUUUGCAGAAAUGGCACGGGAGUGUGCAUAGCAUUACGCGUGGUGGCCAGUAGAGAGAAAGCGGCCCAAUAGGCCCAAGACCCUUUGCUCCAAAUCAGAACAAUAGGGGUUCUGCCAAUUUGCUCUCAUUUGCGUGAGAAGACCGGGGUCAUCUUCUUCUCUGAACAAAGGAAGCUAGAGAUCUCACCUCCGCCGCUCACAGCCACACCUUUACCCGAGCGGCCAUUGCCAAUCGUCGUCCCCGGCGUCGCCAGUGACGACACCCACCGCUGGUCACAACACCAAGCCUCCUUUCCUCCCCUUCUCUUCUUCACACGCAAGAGGGAAACAACCUCGGUUCCUAUGUCGCACUCCCAUCGCCAGCCACCGCAAGGGUCGCCGCUCUCCGUUGAGCCUGAUGCCCGCGCCGCCAUCAUCUCUUCGACCAAGUCGACGAUCGCCAUGCCUUUCGCCACCUUAUCAGUCAUCUCUUUUGCUUCUCUUCUUCACACGCGGCCUGAAUUUGCCACCGGUACGCGCGGUCGUUGCCGGCAAAAUCCCUGGCUCUGGCACCCACGACUUGGGGUGCCAACACUGACGCUAAGACCUCCUCUUCUCUUUCGAAUUAGGCUUGCUUUCUAACCGAUCCACCACUGGCAGAUGCAACUUCCUGCUGUUAUUGUUGAUUACCAAUACUAGACCACGACGCAGUGGCUGAAGAUAGUAAAAGAGUAACAGGGGCCAGUGAUGGUUGACACAGGGAUAAAGGAAAUCAAAGACUACUUGAGUGUGUUGUUGCUGGAUACCAAACCACUCGAACCAACCUUCUCCUCAAGCGCAAGAAAACGCGACGCCUACUCUCGCGACAGUAGCUGCAGUCUCAGAGACCAUUACCAGCAAGGCUUGUUGUGAACAGAAGAUGUCUAAUCAGUCCAGUACACGCUGCUAUUGGAAGAACAAUUGGGGAGAAAUUUCGAAUCUAAGAUACUGAAUAUGUUUUUUCUGUGAGAGUUCAUAGAGGAAUUGAACAGUGUGUAUGAUAGAGGAAAAACGGGUUUUCGGUC